UACGAAGGUGGCAAGCGUUGUUCGGAUUUACUGGGCGUAAAGGGAGCGUAGGUGGUGCGGUAAGCCCUCCGGGAAAGCUUCAGGCUUAACCUGAAAAGGUCGGGGGGGACUGCCGCGCUAGAGGACGGGAGAGGAGCGCGGAAUUCCCGGUGUAGCGGUGAAAUGCGUAGAGAUCGGGAGGAAGGCCGGUGGCGAAGGCGGCGCUCUGGAACGUUUCUGAUACUGAGGCUCGAAAGCGUGGGGAGCGAACAGG
rnacentral:rRNA from 1 species